rnacentral:lncRNA from 1 species
CUAGCAACAAGAGUUGGCAAGGAAAAUCGGAGGGCAAGAAGGAGGCGCCAAAGCCGCGAAGCCCAUGCUUCAUAUGCAACGGACCUCAUUGGGUGCGCGACUGUCCGGAGAAGAGGUCGCUUAACGCUCUUGCUGCCCAACUCAAGAGUAACCCCACAAUGUCCACGGAGGAACCCCAACUCAGCAUGGGUUCUCUCCAACGCCUCGGCGCACUCAAUCGCCAACAGCCCGCACUCGUCAAGAAAGGGCUCAUGUAUGUAAGCGCAAAGGUAAACGGUCAGUCCGUUCGCGCGCUGCUAGACACGGGAGCCACACACAAUUUCGUGUCCGUAGACGAGGCCAAGCGCUUAGGCCUCAAGGCCACCAAGGAAGGAGGCACAAUGAAGGCUGUGAACUCACCCGCCAAGCCAAUUGCGGGAAUUGCACAAGGUGUGCACAUCACACUCAGUACGUGGAGUGGAAAGCUUGACUUCUCCAUUGUGCCCAUGGAUGACUUCAAGAUGGUCCUCGGCAUGGAAUUCUUCGACCAAGUCCAUGCCUUCCCGCUGCCCGCUACAAACUCCCUAAGUAUCCUCGACGGGAGUAAGGCAUGCAUGAUUCCCACGGAACGAGGCAAGUCCGAGGAGAAGACACUCUCCGCCAUGCAAUUCAAGAAGGCUUUCAAGAAGGACCCAAGCUUCUUAGUCUCCAUUCGGGAACUAAAUGAGGAAGGAAAUAGCGGAACUUCGCCAAGCCAAGUCCCUCCGCAAAUUCAAGCCGUCCUCAGUAAGUACAAGGACGUGAUGCCUCCAGAACUUCCGAAGAAGCUCCCACCUCUGCGAGAGGUAGAUCAUGCGAUCGAGCUGGAACAAGGCGCGAAGCCACCAGCCUUGGCGCCCUACCGCAUGGCGCCACCCGAAUUAGAAGAGUUGCGGAGACAACUCAAAGACUUGCUGGACGCAGGCUAUAUUCGCCCCUCAAAGGCCCCAUUCGGUGCACCGGUCCUCUUCCAAAAGAAAAAGGAUGGAUCGCUGCGGAUGUGCAUCGAUUAUAGAGCGCUCAACAAGAUCACCAUCAAGAACAAGUAUCCGAUUCCCUUGAUUGCGGACUUGUUCGACCAGCUUGGUAAAGCGCGGUACUUCACCAAACUUGACUUGCGCUCCGGGUACUACCAAGUGCGCAUCGCCAAGGGAGAUGAACAAAGACAGCGUGCACAACAAGGUACGGGUCUUUCGAAUUCCUUGUGAUGCCUUUUGGCCUUACUAAUGCACCCGCCACAUUUUGCACACUCAUGAACAAGGUGCUCCAACCAUUCCUCGACCGCUUCGUGGUCGUGUACUUGGAUGACAUAGUGGUGUAUAGCACCACGCUCGAGGAGCAUGCCCAACACUUGCAACAAGUCCUCCAAGUACUUCGAGACAAUGAGCUCUUCCUCAAACUAGAGAAGUGCUCGUUUGCCCAACAAGAGGUGGAGUUCCUUGGCCACAAGAUUGCGGGCGGGAAGAUCAUGAUGGAGAAUGACAAAGUAAAGGCCAUCCUCGAUUGGGAGCCUCCCUCGAAAGUACCCGAACUUCGCUCAUUCCUUGGACUGGUGAAUUACUACCGCCGCUUCAUCAAGGGCUAUUCAGCUAAGGCGGCACCCUUGACGGAUAUGCUCAAGAAAAACAGAACAUGGCAUUGGUCCGAAGAGUGCCAACGCGCCUUCGAGGAGUUGAAGAAGGCAAUUUCGGAGGAACCAGUCCUCGCUCUUCCGGACCACACCAAGCCCUUUGAAGUUCAAACGGAUGCCUCGGAUUUCGCCAUAGGUGGAGUCCUUAUGCAAGAAGGCCACCCAAUAGCAUUCGAGAGUCGAAAGCUAAAUGAUACGGAACGCCGCUACACGGUGCAAGAAAAGGAGAUGACAGCCAUCAUCCAUUGUCUAAGAGUGUGGCGACAUUACUUGCUUGGCUCACACUUCACGAUCAUGACGGACAACGUGGCGACAAGCUACUUUCAAACUCAGAAGAAGUUGAGUCCGAAGCAAGCACGGUGGCAAGAUUUCCUUGCGGAAUUCGACUAUCGGCUGGAGUACAAACCGGGGAAAGCCAAUGUCGUUGCGGAUGCUCUAAGCCGCAAGGCCGAAUUGGCGACACUUAGCAUGAGCCAACCGAAGUCUGACCUUGUCUUACGCAUCAAGGAAGGCCUCCAACAAGAUCCGCUAGCAAAGGAUUUGCUGGAGAAGGUGCUCGAGGGAAAGACAAGGCGGUUUUGGCAAGAGGAAGGCAUCCUCCUCACCAAGGGAGAUCGGCUGUUCGUGCCAAGGUGGGGAAAUUUACGGAAGGAAGUAAUCAAGGAGUGCCACGACUCCAAGUGGGCUGGUCACCCAGGAAUUGAGCGCACCACCGCACUAGUCCAAGCCUCGUAUUUCUGGCCGCACAUGAGGGACGACAUCGAGGCAUAUGUGCGAACUUGUCUUGUGUGCCAACAAGACAAGGUGGAUCAUCAACUUCCAGCGGGAUUGUUAGAGCCGCUACCACUAGCA